AGUGAACGCUGGCGGUAGGCCUAACACAUGCAAGUCGAACGGCAGCACAGUAAGAGCUUGCUCUUACGGGUGGCGAGUGGCGGACGUGUGAGGAAUACAUCUGAAUCUACUUUUUCGUGGGGGAUAACGUAGGUAAACUUACGCUAAUACCGCAUACGACCUACGGGUGAAAGCAGGGGAUCUUCGGACCUUGCGCGAUUGAAUGAGCCGAUUUUGGGUUAGCUAGUUGGCGGGGUAAAGGCCCACCAAGGCGACGAUCCGUAGCUGGUGUGAGAGGAUGAUAAGCCACACUGGAACUGAGACACGGUCCAGACUACUACGGGAGGCAGCAGUGGGGAAUAGUGGACAGUGGGCGCAAGCAUGAUACAGCCAUACCGCGUGGGUGAAGAAGGCCUUCGGGUUGUAAAGCCCUUCUGUUGGGAAAGAAAAGCAGCAGGUUAAUACCCCGCUGUUCUGACGGUACCCAAAGAAUAAGCACCGGCUAACUUCGUG
rnacentral:rRNA from 1 species